GGGUUGUGAGGUUAAGCGACUAAGCGUACACGGUGGAUGCCCUGGCAGUCAGAGGCGAUGAAGGACGUGCUAAUCUGCGAUAAGCGUCGGUAAGGUGAUAUGAACCGUUAUAACCGGCGAUUUCCGAAUGGGGAAACCCAGUGUGAUUCGUCACACUAUCAUUACGUGAAUACAUAGCGUAAUGAAGCGAACCGGGGAACUGAAACAUCUAAGUACCCCGAGGAAAAGAAAUCAACCGAGAUUCCCCAGUAGCGGCGAGCGAACGGGGAGCAGCCCAGAGUCUGAAUCAGCUUGUGUGUUAGUGGAACGGUCUGGAAAGUCCGACGGUACAGGGUGAUAGUCCCGUACACCAAAAUGCACAGGUUGUGAACUCGAAGAGUAGGGCGGGACACGUGGUAUCCUGUCUGAAUAUGGGGGACCAUCCUCCAAGGCUAAAUACUCCUGACUGACCGAUAGUGAACCAGUACCGUGAGGGAAAGGCGAAAAGAACCCCGGCGAGGGGAGUGAAAAAGAACCUGAAACCGUGUACGUACAAGCAGUGGGAGCAUCCUUUUGGGUGUGACUGCGUACCUUUUGUAUAAUGGGUCAGCGACUUAUAUUCUGUAGCAAGGUUAACCGUAUAGGGGAGCCGAAGGGAAACCGAGUCUUAACUGGGCGUUAAGUUGCAGGGUAUAGACCCGAAACCCGGUGAUCUAGCCAUGGGCAGGUUGAAGGUUGGGUAACACUAACUGGAGGACCGAACCGACUAAUGUUGAAAAAUUAGCGGAUGACUUGUGGCUGGGGGUGAAAGGCCAAUCAAACCGGGAGAUAGCUGGUUCUCCCCGAAAGCUAUUUAGGUAGCGCCUCGUGAAUUCAUCUUCGGGGGUAGAGCACUGUUUCGGCUAGGGGGUCAUCCCGACUUACCAACCCGAUGCAAACUGCGAAUACCGAAGAAUGUUAUCACGGGAGACACACGGCGGGUGCUAACGUCCGUCGUGAAGAGGGAAACAACCCAGACCGCCAGCUAAGGUCCCAAAGUCAUGGUUAAGUGGGAAACGAUGUGGGAAGGCACAGACAGCCGUGAUGUUGGCUUAGAAGCAGCCAUCAUUUAAAGAAAGCGUAAUAGCUCACUGGUCGAGUCGGCCUGCGCGGAAGAUGUAACGGGGCUAAACCAUGCACCGAAGCUGCGGCAGCGACACUAUGUGUUGUUGGGUAGGGGAGCGUUCUGUAAGCCGUUGAAGGUGUGCUGUGAGGCAUGCUGGAGGUAUCAGAAGUGCGAAUGCUGACAUAAGUAACGAUAAUGCGGGUGAAAAACCCGCACGCCGGAAGACCAAGGGUUCCUGUCCAACGUUAAUCGGGGCAGGGUGAGUCGACCCCUAAGGCGAGGCCGAAAGGCGUAGUCGAUGGGAAACAGGUUAAUAUUCCUGUACUUGGUGUUACUGCGAAGGGGGGACGGAGAAGGCUAUGUUAGCCGGGCGACGGUUGUCCCGGUUUAAGCAUGUAGGCGGAGGUUCCAGGUAAAUCCGGUACCUUUUUAACGCUGAGGUGUGAUGACGAGGCACUACGGUGCUGAAGUAACAAAUGCCCUGCUUCCAGGAAAAGCCUCUAAGCAUCAGGUAACACGAAAUCGUACCCAAAACCGACACAGGUGGUCAGGUAGAGAAUACCAAGGCGCUUGAGAGAACUCGGGUGAAGGAACUAGGCAAAAUGGUGCCGUAACUUCGGGAGAAGGCACGCUGAUAUGUAGGUGAAGUGAUUUACUCAUGGAGCUGAAAUCAGUCGAAGAUACCAGCUGGCUGCAACUGUUUAUUAAAAACACAGCACUGUGCAAACACGAAAGUGGACGUAUACGGUGUGACGCCUGCCCGGUGCCGGAAGGUUAAUUGAUGGGGUUAUCCGUAAGGAGAAGCUCUUGAUCGAAGCCCCGGUAAACGGCGGCCGUAACUAUAACGGUCCUAAGGUAGCGAAAUUCCUUGUCGGGUAAGUUCCGACCUGCACGAAUGGCGUAAUGAUGGCCAGGCUGUCUCCACCCGAGACUCAGUGAAAUUGAACUCGCUGUGAAGAUGCAGUGUACCCGCGGCAAGACGGAAAGACCCCGUGAACCUUUACUAUAGCUUGACACUGAACACUGGUCCUUGAUGUGUAGGAUAGGUGGGAGGCUUUGAAGUGUGGACGCCAGUCUGCAUGGAGCCAUCCUUGAAAUACCACCCUUUAAUGGCUGGUGUUCUAACGUGGACCCGUAAUCCGGGUUGCGGACAGUGUCUGGUGGGUAGUUUGACUGGGGCGGUCUCCUCCUAAAGAGUAACGGAGGAGCACGAAGGUUAGCUAAUCCUGGUCGGACAUCAGGAGGUUAGUGCAAAGGCAUAAGCUAGCUUGACUGCGAGAGUGACGGCUCGAGCAGGUGCGAAAGCAGGUCUUAGUGAUCCGGUGGUUCUGAAUGGAAGGGCCAUCGCUCAACGGAUAAAAGGUACUCCGGGGAUAACAGGCUGAUACCGCCCAAGAGUUCAUAUCGACGGCGGUGUUUGGCACCUCGAUGUCGGCUCAUCACAUCCUGGGGCUGAAGUAGGUCCCAAGGGUAUGGCUGUUCGCCAUUUAAAGUGGUACGCGAGCUGGGUUUAGAACGUCGUGAGACAGUUCGGUCCCUAUCUGCCGUGGGCGCUGGAGAAUUGAGGGGGGCUGCUCCUAGUACGAGAGGACCGGAGUGGACGCAUCACUGGUGUUCGGGUUGUCAUGCCAAUGGCAUUGCCCGGUAGCUAAAUGCGGAAGAGAUAAGUGCUGAAAGCAUCUAAGCACGAAACUUGCCCCGAGAUGAGUUCUCCCUGAGACUUUAAGUCUCCUGAAGGAACGUUGAAGACGACGACGUUGAUAGGUCGGGUGUGUAAGUGUAGCGAUACAUUGAGCUAACCGAUACUAAUGAACCGUGAGGCUUAACCUUACAACGCCGAAG
rnacentral:rRNA from 1 species